rnacentral:rRNA from 1 species
UACGGAGGGUGCAAGCGUUAUCCGGAUUCACUGGGUUUAAAGGGUGCGUAGGUGGGUAGGUAAGUCAGUGGUGAAAUCCCCGAGCUUAACUUGGGAACUGCCGUUGAUACUAUCUAUCUUGAAUAUCGUGGAGGUAAGCGGAAUAUGUCAUGUAGCGGUGAAAUGCUUAGAUAUGACAUAGAACACCCAUUGCGAAGGCAGCUUACUACACGAUCAUUGACACUGAGGCACGAAAGCGUGGGAGCAAACAGG